AGCCUCAUUCUAGAAGGAAUGGGCACCGUGGACUAGUGUCCAAAACUGAUCAAUGUGGCUACACUGAGACACAGGCGAUGCCUGUCGUAGUGAAUGCACCACUGUGGUGACAGUGAGACCAGUAACACUU
ensembl:snoRNA